ensembl:lncRNA
GGGACUGGAUGGACCCUGUACCUCCAAGAUCCUCAAGAAACUAGUUGGGUUACUGGUUAACAACGAAUAGGUUAGAGGCAUUUUUGAUCAGUUGACAAGCAGCAGAAGUCCCAGGACUCUUAGGCUGAUUUUUACACCACUCUCACCUGCACAUACUGAGGAAGAACAGUCUACAGCGAGGUUUUGUUCUGGGGAUGGUGCUGCGGUCUUCCAGGGCUGUGCAGGGCUAUGGUUCUGCAAUCCUUCUGCAAUGACGCCAGGACUCACUGGAAUGGGAGUAUCUUCUACUCGCCAGGCACAAGGAGUGGUGACAGCAUUCUUGGCAAAGAAGCUAGCGAGUGCCUCUCUGCACAGGGAGAAGACCGCAUGACCCAGUCUGCUCCCGAAGACCUCAACUCUCUACACGUUUGCAGUGGAGAUUGUUCCAACAUGAAUUUUGGAGAGAUUGGAAGCAGUGUGGCCCCUCACCUACUGCCUGUAUGGGGGCCCGUCCCAACCAGAGCAGCCUCACAGCUGUCUACACAACCAGAGCCUUCUCCAGACGGAGCCCGGGCUCAGCCAGAGUCUGCGCAGCCUGCGUUGAGUCCAUCUCGCAGUAGAACUUUAUCUGUGUUUUCCUCCUGACUCUCUUCUGUUACCUGUAUAUACCACGGAUGCUGCUGGGUCUUCGUGGGAAAUGGACUCUUUCGUCAUGUAAUACCCCAUUUUACAACUGACAAUUUUUCUCUUCUGAAGGAAGACUGAUUUAUCUGAAAUUAAUAUACCUUUUAACUUUUUAUUAAUGUUAAUAUGGCAUAUCAUUCUUCACUUCUUUAACCCAUCUGUGUCUUUUUACUCAAAGUGUAUUUCUUGUAGCUAUGUCAUUGGUAAAAUUCUCUUUGACAAUCUCUGUUUUUCAAUUUAUGUAUUUACACCGUUCAUAUGUAAAGUGUUACUGAUGUAGUGGCAUUAAUAUUUACAAUGUUUGCAACUUUUUUUUUGUUUUUUAUACUUGUUCUUUGUAUUUUUUCUUACCUUUCAGGUUUUGAAGGUUUGAUGAUUCCAUUUUUCUCUUAGCACAUGAAUUAAAACCCUCUUAAAAACUGUUUUAGUGGUUUUCUUAGAAUUCGCAAUAUACAUUUAGAGCUAAGUCCACUUUCUGUAACACUGUACUGUUUUAUGUCUAGUGCAGUUACCUUAGCACGGAGUAUUCGCAAUUUCUCCUUUCUGUCCCUGCAUUGCUGUUAUUCCUUUCAGUUAUCCAUAUGCAAUAUUAUAGGUUGACCCUGCAACAAAGGGAUAUGUUGAAAUUCUAACUUUCUUUUUUUUUUUUUGAGACGGAGUCUUGCUGGUGUUACCCAGGCUGGAGUGCAAUGGCGCAAUCUCGGCUCACUGCAACCUCCAGCUCCUGGGUUCAGGCAAUUCACCCGCCUCAGCCUCCUGAGUAGCUGGGAUUACAGGCAUGUGCCACCAUGCCCAGCUAAUUUUUUGUAUUUUCAGUAGAGACGGGGUUUCACCUUUUUGAACAGGAUGGUCUCGAUCUCUUGACCUCGUGAUCCACCUGCCUCGGCCUCCCAAAGUGCUGGGAUUACAGGCUUGAGCCACCGCGCCCGGCCCGAAAUACUAACUUUCUUACUUCACAGUGUAAACUUAAUUGGAAAUAGGCUUGUCUUUUCAUUCCCUUGACAAUGUAUUUUACAGAGAAGAAAUUUUAAAUUUUAACAAUAUCCAGAUUAUCAGAUUUGUUUUCAUGGAUCAUGCCUUUGGUGUUACAUUUACAAGGUAUUUUAUAUCCGUAGACAUGCAGGUCUUCUGCUAUGUUAUCUUAGGAGUUAUAGUUUUGCAUUUUACAUAUAGGUAUAUAAUAUACUUUUAAGUUUUGUGAGAGGAGUAAGGUCUGUGUCUAAAUUCAUUUUAUUUUAUUUUUUUCACUAAAAAACACUUGUAAACAUCUCACCCUGAAGACACAGAACAAAUAAAAGGCUGGUAUUUAGCCACAAGAUUCUAGAACACUUCUCCAUUCCCACUUUCUAUUCCUACAUUAAUGGGGCUAUGGGAUAAUGGUGGAUUACAGGUGAAAGGAUGGCACAGAUUCUAAUGAAGAAAGUGUGCUUGAGGACAUGUUGAUGUCUGAUUGUUUCAGUGCAUAGUAAUCAUGGUUACUUUAAAUUUCUUGAUUGAUUCAUUCCAAAAUUUGUGUCAUAUGUAAGUCUGGUUCUUCUGGUUGCAUUGUCUCAUUUUGUCAUGCAUUGCCUAAAAUUUAUCAUUCUUCGUAGUUUUUUGUUGAAGACUAAACCAUGGCAUAUCUGGUAAAAAUGUCUGAAGUAACCAGGUCUUCCGUGUGAGAUUUUACGUAAUUUGGCUGUGAGUUGGACUGUUCCUAAGAGUUGCCAUAGUAAUAGGUGUGAAGAUCUUUGCUUCUGUCUUCCUUGUUGUCUUUGGUUCUUUUUUUAAAAUUUAAUUUCACUUUAAGUUCUGUGGUACAUGUGCAGAUCUUGCAGGAUUGUUACAUAGGUACACACAUGCCAUGGUGGGUUGCGGCCUCCGUCCCCCGGACACCUACAUUAGGUAUUUCUUUUAAUGUUAUCCCUC